UUCAUUUACUUCAGACGGCC
rnacentral:misc_RNA from 1 species